rnacentral:miRNA from 1 species
GUUCUCCAGGUGUUGCUGAACUGCAACUCCCAUCAGUCCCAGCAAGUGUGGCCAGCAGCCUAGGGUGAUGGGAGUUGCAGUUCAGCAAUAUCUGGAGGGCCA